UCCUGGCUCAGGAUGAACGCUGGCGGCGUGCCUAAUACAUGCAAGUCGAACGCUUCACUUCGGUGAAGAGUGGCGAACGGGUGAGUAAUACAUAAGUAACCUGGCAUCUACAGGGGGAUAACUGAUGGAAACGUCAGCUAAGACCGCAUAGGUGUAGAGAUCGCAUGAACUCUAUAUGAAAAGUGCUACGGGACUGGUAGAUGAUGGACUUAUGGCGCAUUAGCUUGUUGGUAGGGUAACGGCCUACCAAGGCGACGAUGCGUAGCCGACCUGAGAGGGUGACCGGCCACACUGGGACUGAGACACGGCCCAGACUCCUACGGGAGGCAGCAGUAGGGAAUUUUCGGCAAUGGGGGAAACCCUGACCGAGCAACGCCGCGUGAAGGAAGAAGUAAUUCGUUAUGUAAACUUCUGUCAUAGAGGAAGAACGGUGGAUAUAGGGAAUGAUAUCCAAGUGACGGUACUCUAUAAGAAAGCCACGGCUAACUACGUGCCAGCAGCCGCGGUAAUACGUAGGUGGCGAGCGUUAUCCGGAAUUAUUGGGCGUAAAGAGGGAGCAGGCGGCACUAAGGGUCUGUGGUGAAAGAUCGAAGCUUAACUUCGGUAAGCCAUGGAAACCGUAGAGCUAGAGUGUGUGAGAGGAUCGUGGAAUUCCAUGUGUAGCGGUGAAAUGCGUAGAUAUAUGGAGGAACACCAGUGGCGAAGGCGACGAUCUGGCGCAUAACUGACGCUCAGUCCCGAAAGCGUGGGGAGCAAAUAGGAUUAGAUACCCUAGUAGUCCACGCCGUAAACGAUGAGUACUAAGUGUUGGGUGUCAAAGCUCAGUGCUGCAGUUAACGCAAUAAGUACUCCGCCUGAGUAGUACGUUCGCAAGAAUGAAACUCAAAGGAAUUGA
rnacentral:rRNA from 1 species